rnacentral:lncRNA from 1 species
GACCAAGUGGACUGCCACUGCACUCCCAAAGGUAUGAGCCACUGCGCUCGGUCAGAUUCAGUGAAUCACAUCUUAAGCAAACAUUAUGAAUGCUGGUUCAAAACUGUAUCAAGUAGAAUUAUUUUUUGCAGUGUAUAGUAAUUCAUCUAUCAAUCUAUAAAUUUCAGGCAAUAAGUCAUGAUAAGGAAAGCUGAAAGUAAAUCCAAAGGUAGUAGCCAGGCUAAUCAGUAUUUUUAAAUGAAAAAAAAAAUCAGCAAGCUUUUUAUUAGAGAAGAUGAAAACUUGAGAAUAGUAACUGGAGUAGCCACUUUUGAAGGGCAGAAAGAAAAAUGGAAAAUUUAUUUAUUAACCUAGUGUAUGUAUUAUAAUUUAACUUAAUUUAAAUGCAUACAUAUUCACACACAUAACUUGUUUCUGUCAAAGAUAUGUUUGUAUUUCCUUGAGCUGAGUUAUAUUUUAUCACCUUACUAACUGCAUGUAUUGUUUCCCCAUUUCUACAAGUACAUACAGAGAGUUUUAAGGUCUCCUAAUUGCAUAGUGCAAAUAGUAAAUACAUUGCAGAAACAGAAACCACAUAUGAAUAGAACUUAAUGUUUAUACUGGAUUUGAUAUGUGUAAAGAAGAGAGAAAACAUUAAUUAAAAAUUGCAUAUUUAAACAUUAUUGUUGUAAGAAUAAACAAGUUGGAGGAGUAAGUAAAAGUUAACCAGUUAAAAAUUUUCAAAAGACUAUCUUGGGAACAUAUGAGAUUGCUGGAUAGAAAACUAAAGUUAGAUUAGAUUCAAAGAAUGACUUUGAGUUGGAAAUCAGAGUAAAAGUACCGUUUGUUUUAUUGUUGCAUAAACCUUGACUUAUUAUUAUGUCUUUUCCCUAUGCCCCACCUACAUCCCAACUUAACUCAUACCCUCAAUAAUAAUUUAAACCUUUUGCUUUUCUCAGUAGAAAUACAGCCACUCUACUGCUUGUUUUGAGAUACACUUGCCUGGUUAAGGCUUGAAAAUAAAUUAUAAGUCGUUUAUAGCUCUAAUAUUUUCUUUAAAAAUUACUCCUCUGGCUUUGCAUUCAAAUACAUAGCCCUGCAGAAUCCAACAGCCAAAGAAUACACAUUCUCAACUGUCCAUGAAAUAUUCUCCAGGAUAGAUCACUUGCUAGGCCAUAAAAUAAGUCUUAACAAAUAUAAGAAGAUCGAAAUCAUAUGAAGUGUCUUUCCUAAUCACAAUGGUAUAAAACUAGAAAUCAAUAAUAGGAGAACAUUGAAAACUUUUUAAUGAACAAAUAAUGAUAGAAACAUUGAAUCAGUAAUAAAAAGUCUCCCAUCAAAGAACGCCAAAAACCUGAUGAAUUUACUGCUGAAUUAUACUAAACAUUUAAAGAACUAAUGCUAAAUAUUUUUGAACUAUUCCAAAAAAAUUGAAGAGCAGGGAACACUGUCAAAUUCCUCCUAUAGGCCCAGCAUUACCCUGAUACCAAAACCAGACAAAAGCACACAAAACAACAAGAAAACUACAGAUCAAUAUCUCUGAUGAACAAAGAUGUAAAAAUCUUCAACCAAAUACUAGCAUACCAAAUUCAAUAGCAUAUUAAAAAUAUCAUUCACCAUAAUCACGUGGGAUUCAUCCCAAGGAUGAAAGGAUGUCUCAAUAUAUGCAAAUCAAUAAAUAUGA